UCCCCGGCCCUGCACAUAUUAAUUACAAGUAUAAAUAACAAUUUACUGUAAACCAACAUGGAGCUCACACUCAUUUCCUGUGCCAAGACAAUGGCGGUAAUUCUCAUCUCUAGAAUAAUUUCUCAUCAGCUUAAGCAAGUUUCAGACUGUUGAAAACUGUGACUCGGGCAUGAAAUUGCAAUACGGUCUGGGUCUUGAUUGACUUCUGCGCUCCCUCUGGUUCUCAGCUGCGGCGUAAACACACACAUGUAGGGGAGACGCGCUCCUGCUGAGGAUGGAAACGAAGACGCAACCCCCGACCGUGCGUCCGAACCCCGACUCGGAACGUGGGCUCCUGUCACGUGUUAGCACGAGGAAUCAGGGCCCGAAAAUGAAGUGCUAAAACUUAGCCAGAAAAUACAGCCGAAGAAGAGGCACAGGAGGUAGCAAGAAAUACAAUGGUGCCUUGGGAUAUCCAAAAAUCAAAUGCGUACAACUGUCAGAACAAUGGACAAAGAAGAUUCAGCAUCAAAAACCUCCAGCUGGUUACCUGCCUCCUUUCUACCAAUCACACCGAUGGGAUCACUCCUUUCCCACCAAAAUGGUAACUGAGUCCAGGCUCUUGGAUCCCUCUUAUUUCUGGAAUACCUGUAAUAGCUGCAUGUUCCUUACUAUGAUUGAUAGAGUAAAUAAUCUAAAAACCUACAAAAUGUUAGGAAAAUGUACAGUGACUUUUGCUGUCUCUAACAGCAAUCUGACGAGUUUAGUUCAAAAUUAA
rnacentral:lncRNA from 1 species